rnacentral:rRNA from 1 species
GCGCAGCAGUCGAGAAUUUUUCUCAAUGGGGGAAACCCUGAAGGAGCGACGCCGCGUGGAGGAUGAAGGCUUUCGGGUUGUAAACUCCUGUCAUUUGGGAACAAGGUGCACACGUUAACUGCGUAGGUAUUGAUAGUACCAGAAGAAGAAGGGACGGCUAACUCUGUGCCAGCAGCCGCGGUAAUACAGAGGUCCCAAGCGUUGUUCGGAUUCAUUGGGCGUAAAGGGUGCGUAGGUGGCGCUGUAAGUCGGGUGUGAAAUUUCGAGGCUUAACCUCGAAACUGCAUUCGAUACUGCGGUGCUUGAGGACUGGAGAGGAGACUGGAAUUCAUGGUGUAGCAGUGAAAUGCGUAGAGAUCAUGAGGAAGACCAGUGGCGAAGGCGGGUCUCUGGACAGUUCCUGACACUGAGGCACGAAGGCCAGGGGAGCAAACGGGAUUAGAUACCCCCGUAGU